AGAACGAACGCUGGCGGCAUGCCUAAUACAUGCAAGUCGAACGAACUCUUCGGAGUUAGUGGCGCACGGGUGCGUAACGCGUGGGAAUCUGCCCCUUGGUUCGGAAUAACAGUUGGAAACGACUGCUAAUACCGGAUGAUGACGAAAGUCCAAAGAUUUAUCGCCAAGGGAUGAGCCCGCGUAGGAUUAGCUAGUUGGUGAGGUAAAGGCUCACCAAGGCAACGAUCCUUAGCUGGUCUGAGAGGAUGAUCAGCCACA
rnacentral:rRNA from 1 species